CAGUAGCCGCGGGAAUACGGAGGGGGCUAGCGUUGUUCGGAAUUACUGGGCGUAAAGGGCGCGUAGGCGGAUUGCACAGUCAGAUGUGAAAUUCCUGGGCUUAACCUGGGGGCUGCAUUUGAUACGUGAAAUCUAGAGUGUGAAAGAGGGUCGUGGAAUUCCCAGUGUAGAGGUGAAAUUCGUAGAUAUUGGGAGGAACAUCAGUGGCGAAGGCGGCCAUCUGGGACAACACUGACGCUGAGGCACGAAAGCGUGGGAGCAAACAGGAUUAGAUACCCCUGUAGUCCCUGUCUCUUAUACA
rnacentral:rRNA from 1 species